rnacentral:guide_RNA from 1 species
AUACUUUGCAUCAGAUAAGUCAAUGAAAUUAUA